CUACGGGGGGCUGCAGUGGGGAAUAUUGCACAAUGGACGAAAGUCUGAUGCAGCAACGCCGCGUGGAGGAUGACACAUUUCGGUGCGUAAACUCCUUUUAUGAGUCAAGAUAAUGACGGUAGCUCAUGAAUAAGCGCCGGCUAACUCCGUGCCAGCAGCCGCGGUAAUACGGAGGGCGCAAGCGUUACUCGGAAUCACUGGGCGUAAAGAGCGUGUAGGCGGGUAGAUAAGUUUGAAGUGAAAUCCAAUGGCUUAACCAUUGAACUGCCUUGAAAACUGUCUACCUAGAAUAUGGGAGAGGUAGAUGGAAUUUCUGGUGUAGGGGUAAAAUCCGUAGAGAUCAGAAGGAAUACCGAUUGCGAAGGCGAUCUACUGGAACAUUAUUGACGCUGAGACGCGAAAGCGUGGGGAGCAAACAGGAUUAGAUACCCGUGUAGUC
rnacentral:rRNA from 1 species